rnacentral:lncRNA from 1 species
CAAACAAAUUGCAUGGACUGAUAUUCCUUGGUCAUUGUCUGCAGGUACCAUAGGAUCACAGUGAUGCUCAGGGACUGUUCCUAUGCCCAUGCCUUUUGGGAGGAAAACAUCCAUGCUGAAGUUCUCAGGUGUCUUGGCAAAAACUAUGCAAGGAAAAUGGUUCAGAGGGUUUUGGACAGAAUGCUGACAGGAUAUCAUGUCUGUCUGAGUCUACAUAUGGGAGGAUGUAGCUUCUCUGCCUGGCCUGCAACUGCAGCAUGCUCUGGAGAGGAAGGAUGCUCAGUCCAGGGGAGCAGGAGAAGAGGAUGGUGAGAAGCUGCAGAGGCCAGUGAGUACCGCUGGGCAAGGGUAAAUUUGCUGGGGUGUCACACUGGGAUAAAAGAGGACCUGGGAAG